AUUGACCCAUGAGGAUUUACUUAAAUCCUCCUUGGUUAUAGGCCUCCAAAGACAAAGCCAUAUCCAUGGCAACCACAGGCGACCCAGCAGAAGAGAGAGCACAUUAGAGCCCGAGCAUAAUAGCUGUUUACUGAUGACUAAGGUCUUGAAAGCAAUACUGUACAUCCCAACUCCCGGCUCAGGCAGGACUCCAGCCCGUCCUCAUCCUCCAGACCCAGCAAUCUAUAUAAUCAGAGACACAGAAAGGAAGAGAAGCCCUUUGCCCAGCCCUCAAAUGUUCCUCCUCCCUGGGAGGGAGGAAUGUGCCCCUUCUCACAAGCCUCGAGAUGAUCCCGCAGGAAAGGAAAUGGUGGCCAACAUGAGAAGAAGGCAGAGAUGGGGUGCCAAUAAGAUCUGGUAGGCACACCAACUUGAGUAAAGAAAGGGCUGUGCAGUCCAAGUAUUUCCCCCGUUUCUGACGCAGGAGCACAAAACAAGAACCCUCACUGCUCUCGUCCAGCUCCUGCACAAGAACAUUCGCACCUCAGGCUCAGCAAGAGCUCCCAGGCAGCUAGUCCCACUAUUCCUCAGAAAAAUGAAGAAGUCGGAUUUGAAGAAAAUACAGAAUUUCCCCUAAGGUUACACAUUGGCAGAUCUCUUCCAAGUCCUCUGUCAAAAUUGAAGCUGUGCUCCCUCCCACCCACCUACCCCAGGCUAUUUGAUUCACUCCAGCUUUAUUUCUCUAUAAAACUGGUAGCUGUUUGCCUAUUAUUACAGAUGACAAAAGAAAGGUUACACAGUCUGGGACAGCUUUGCCAAGAAAUUCAAAAUAUUUGCAGACCCACUAAAGUCCCAGCAGGCCCCAAGUGGAAGCAAUCACUGUGACCAAACCUUUGAUGCCAGAUCUAAAGUCUGAAAGCUCCGUGCUGAAAAGUGGGGCCCUGUUUCUUGUCACGAGUGCCCCAGGGACUCUUUGUUUUAGAUCCCAGUGAUCUGAAGAUGUUUAGGCUGCUCCAUUUUUGCCAUCACAGAGAGAGAACUUCGUAGAAUUGCUAGGAAAUAGAGCCAGCUCUCUAUGUCCGGGGAAUUUUCCACAGUGUCCUUGCCAGAAAGGGAGCCUGAGCUCGAGUUACAGGGUGAAGCAAAAAGGAUUUGCCAAGGGCUCCAUUCAGAGCUGUGUGCUGGGCAACCACUCACUGUGUGGGACCAGCUUUUGUGCUCCAAAAGCCUCGUGCAAGUAGCCAAGGCUCCCUGACCAGAAAUGCUAGCUUUUUCCAAGUUUAGACUGGUUGAGAAUUUUGCCAAAAAAAAAAAAAGUCUGGUCUAGCUACAGCAUCCAGGGCAGGCAGAAACCGUGAAGCAACAUUGUCCCGCGGGCAAUGCCUUCUGCUCAGCAUCUGGUCACUGAGGUCAUUUUCCUCGCCAGUGGCUUGUGGCCCAAGCAGAAGCUGGCGAACGAAUCCACGACAUGAACUUAAGAAACAGUCUUUCGUUGGCUGCACACUUGAUCCCUCAGAACACCCCCGAGAGUCGUUAUACUUGUUUGACCCGACUCGGCACUGGGCGUUGGGCAAGUCAGUGGGUAAGGAAAGGAACAGAGGACCUCGAGUGUCCACAGUGGAAUUCAGCUUCAAUGCCAGGGACAGGCAUCGACACCUCGUCCUCUAACAGUAAACAACAAAACAAAACAUAACCCCACACAACCAACUCAACUGCCACCCCUCCUCCCCAACCACACCUCACCCUGAAAAUGUUCAAGGAAAUACAAGUGUUGCUUCCUCUGUCUCCUGGUGGAAGAGUGGAACCCUAGGUUUUCUCUUCCAGUGUCUCCGUAUGCUCUCCACCCUCUACUUCCAAGCCCAUUACCCUCCACCCACCAGCAUCUACCUUGACCUCUUGGUCACACACCUGAGGACGGCAGCAAAGUUGUAAUUGGUACCUUGAAUCUACAUAAUCCCCUGGCUCCUUCUGUUGACCCUCGUCACUUAACUUCUUGUAACUUUUUGUUUUGAAAUAGUUACAGACUCACAAGGAGUGGCAAAACAUUUAAAUUUUAACAGUAAUUUACCUGAGGGAAGAGCUGUAGCCUUGUUCACUAUGUCUCCCUUCCCUAGAAGUCUCUUGACCCUGUGGUGGAUACAACCUGAGGAAAGGAUUCGUUGGAUAGGAGACUGGAAAUGUAUGAACUCUUGGGGUCUAACUUUCUUGGAAGAAGGGUGAUUAUCUAUGUAUAUAUGUAUAUGUAUGUAGCUGUAUUUAUAUCAUGCCCUCAGAAGAUCAUGUUUAUUUUUUUUAACGUUUAUUGAUUUUUGAGACAGAG